UCCUCCCUCAAACGUCACUGCUUCUCCAAUAAUUACCCUCACCUGUAACCCUCUGUUUCUCCUCUUGCAUUUCCUUCGCGCCUCCAGUCUCCGUUAUCCUUCCUCCAUGUCCUGUUCCAGUUCGUCGAUCUCUGCUUCCUUUGUGUGUCUUGUCAUUCUCUGCCUGUGGCUGUGCUGAAGCCCUAUUUACUACUUGCAGGGUUCCACCACAGGUAAUGUUCGUUCAUCCUUUGCAAAACCAUGGCCCCCAGCUAAAGUUAAUAAUUUAAAGAAGGCUGGUCCAAAAGCUUAGACCUUGAAAAUUGCCAAGGUAGUGAAGUCGGGUGCUACCUUUAAGAAGAAGGCUAAGAAGAUCAGAACAAAGGUCACAUUCUAUUGCCCCAAGACUUUGAAGAAGGAUAGGAACCCUAAAUACCCCCGUAUUAGUGCCCCACCAAGGAACAACAUUGACCAUUAUCAAAUUCUUAAAUACCCUCUUACAACCGAGUUGGCAAUGAAGAAAAUUGGAGACAACAACACUAUGGUUUUCAUUGUUGACUUGCGUGCUGACAAGAAGAUGAUCAAGGACGCAAUGAAGAAAAUGUAUGACAUCUAAGCCAAGAAAGCGAACACUUUGAUAAGGCCUCACUCUGCCUAUGUUACACCUACGGUAUAUAGCUAGUCCCAAGCCCGAAUAAAAGAGGAGGGUUGUGUUAGGCCUUCGAUAGCCAACAUAAAAAUUUAGUCGAAUCUUCAUGACAUGGAUCAAAGAUGUUAUUGCGCUAAAACUAGGUCGUUGCCCGGAAGUAGCGCACUGUAUGGCUUGCGUAUAGUGUCAAAUGAGCAAAAUCCAUUGCAUCGGUGCCCGGGUGUACUUUUAAAUGAGUAAGGGUUCCUGCGUUUUCGUGAACGGACGAAGGUAAAUAUGCUAGUUCACAAAGAAAAAGGUAAAGGUAAAGGUUGGAGUAACAAAAAGUUGAAAUUUAGGACAUGGAACAUAGGCACUCUAACAGGAAAAUCCAUGGAGGCGGUGGAUACCAUAACAAUGAGGAAGAUUAACAUCAUAUGCCUACAAGAAAUAAAAUGGGUCGGCAGAAAGGCUAGGAAGUUGGAUACCUCUGGAUUUAAACUUUGGUAUACAGGAAAGGUGAAGAAUAGGAAUAUGAUAGGUAUUUUCGUGGAUAAGUAAUGGAAGAAAGAUGUAGUGGAUGUUAAGAGGGUGGGUGAUCAUAUUAUCUCUAUCAAACUUGUGGUGGAAGAAGGUACCUUUCAUAUGAUUAGUGCCUAUGCACUACAAGUGGGUUCAGACGAGCAAUACAAGAUAAGGUUUUGGGAUGAUCUAGAGAGUUUGGUCCAAGGCAUACCUUCGAGAGAUAAGAUUUUCUUAGGAGGAUAUUUAAAUAGCCAUGUUGAAAGAGAAGUGUCUGAAUAUGGAAAUAUUCACAGAGGCCAUAGUUUCAGGGUGGUCAAUAUAAAGGGUAAAACUAUUUUGGAUUUUUCCUCAACCUUUGACAUUCUCAUCGCAAAUACAUGUUUUAAAAAGAGAGACGAACAUCUUAUAACCUAUAGGAGUGGUAUGACAAGCUCUUAAAUCGGCUUCUUUUUGUUGAGGAGAGUCGAUCCAAAAUUUUGCAUUAAUUAUAAAAUUAUUCUGGGAGAUAUUUUAACAACACAACAUAUAGGAUGCUCGUCAUGGAUGUUCACGUUGAGUAAAAGUUGAGGAAAAGACAUCAUACAAAGAACCUAAGGACGAGGUGGUGGCGAAUGAAAUGUGAGGAACAAAGAAGUUUCCUAAGACGGGUAGGAGAAGAGAAAAAGUAGAAAGGGGAUGGAAGCACAUAGUAGAUGUGGGAAAAAUGACAGAAGUUAUUAGAAAAAUAGCAAAAGAAAGUUUUGGUGAAUUUAGAGGGAUAGGACCAAGAGACAAGGAGUCCUGGUAGUGGAAUGCGAGUGUACAAGAAAAGAUAAAGGCAAGAAGGGAGUGCUUUAAAGAGUGGUCUUUGUGCUGCAAUGCAGAUAAUUGAGAAAAAUAUAAGGCAGCUAAGAAAGAGACAAAAGUGACUGUAAGUGAAGUAAAAACAAGAGCAUACGAGAGUCUCUACUAGUCUUUAGGCACGAAGAAAGGAGAAAAAAUUAUAUAUAGAAUCGCAAAUAGUCGUAAAAGAAGAAUGUGACUUGGAUCAGGUUAGGUGUAUAAAGAAUAAAGAUGGAGAGGUUUUAGCUCAAGAUGAGAAGAUCAAUGAAAGGUGGAAGAGCUACUUUUAUAAGUUAUUUAAUAAAGUACAAAUGAUUAUUUCAAUCUUGAUCGGUUAUGCACAAGCUGAAAGUCUAGUCAAACACAAAACUAGUCCAGUGAGAUAAUCAAAUUAAAUUAUUCAAGAUCGGCCAUAUAAGUAAUUAUUAAUUGGUGUAUACCCAAAAGUUUAAAGUUUGAGAUUAGGGAUUUCCAACUCUCACCAAAAAUUCAAAAGCAUUUCAAAUUCAUUGAUAAUUAGCUUGCAUAUGGGUGGAAAUGGGUAAGAUUUGAGUUUCACUCCAAUUUUAUCUGUACAAUUUAAUGCUUAUAAAUUCUCUCUAAUUUUAUUUGUGGAUGUAGAAAUGUAACACAGGUUUAAUUUGUGUAAUCUGCAUAUUUUUAAAUUUCAUUCCAAUCAAUAUUAUAUUUAGU